GUAGGGUGCGAGCGUUAAUCGGAAUUACUGGGCGUAAAGUGUGCGCAGGCGGCAAAGCAAGUCGAGUGUGAAAGCCCCGGGCUUAACUUGGGAAUUGCGCUCGAAACUACUUUGCUGGAGUGUGGCAGAGGAAGGUGGAAUUCCACGUGUAGCGGUGAAAUGCGUAGAGAUGUGGAGGAACACCAAUGGCGAAGGCAGCCUUCUGGGCCAACACUGACGCUCAUGCACGAAAGCGUGGGGAGCAAACAGGAUUAGAUACCCUGGUAGUCCACGCCCUAAACGAUGACGACUAGUUGUUGGAGGAGUUAAAUCCUUUAGUAACGCAGCUAACGCGCGAAGUCGUCCGCCUGGGGAGUACGGUCGCAAGAUUA
rnacentral:rRNA from 1 species